rnacentral:rRNA from 1 species
CCUACGGGAGGCAGCAGUGAGGAAUAUUGGUCAAUGGACGAGAGUCUGAACCAGCCAAGUAGCGUGAAGGAUGACUGCCCUAUGGGUUGUAAACUUCUUUUAUAUGGGAAUAAAAUGUUCCACGUGUGGGAUUUUGUAUGUACCAUAUGAAUAAGGAUCGGCUAACUCCGUGCCAGCAGCCGCGGUAAUACGGAGGAUCCGAGCGUUAUCCGGAUUUAUUGGGUUUAAAGGGAGCGUAGGUGGAUUGUUAAGUCAGUUGUGAAAGUUUGCGGCUCAACCGUAAAAUUGCAGUUGAAACUGGCAGGCUUGAGUACAGUAGGGGUGGGCGGAAUUCGUGGUGUAGCGGUGAAAUGCUUAGAUAUCACGAAGAACUCCGAUUGCGAAGGCAGCUCACUGGACUGCAACUGACACUGAGGCUCGAAAGUGUGGGUAUCAAACAGGAUUAGAUACCCCAGUAGUC